rnacentral:rRNA from 1 species
AACGAACGCUGGCGGCAGGCCUAACACAUGCAAGUCGAGCGCCCCGCAAGGGGAGCGGCGGACGGGUGCGUAACGCGUGGGAAUAUGCCCUUUGCUACGGAAUAGUCUCGGGAAACUGGGGGUAAUACCGUAUACGCCCUUUGGGGGAAAGAUUUAUCGGCGAAGGAUUAGCCCGCGUUGGAUUAGGUAGUUGGUGGGGUAAUGGCCUACCAAGCCGACGAUCCAUAGCUGGUUUGAGAGGAUGAACAGCCACACUGGGACUGAGACACGGCCCAGACUCCUACGGGAGGCAGCAGUGGGGAAUCUUAGACAAUGGGGGCAACCCUGAUCGAGCCAUGCCGCGUGAGUGAUGAAGGCCUUAGGGUUGUAAAGCUCUUUCAGCUGGGAAGAUAAUGACGGUACCAGCAGAAGAAGCCCCGGCUAACUCCGUG